GCCUGGGUGACUCAGUUGGGUGAGUGUCUGACUUCAGCUCAGGUCAUGAUCUCACAGUCUGUGAGUUCAAGUCCCACAUCGGGCU
rnacentral:tRNA from 1 species